rnacentral:rRNA from 2 species
AUUAUUGAAAGGUGCUUGCAUCUUGAUUUAAUUUUGAACGAGUGGCGGACGGGUGAGUAACACGUGGGUAACCUGCCCUUAAGUGGGGGAUAACAUUUGGAAACAGAUGCUAAUACCGCAUAAAUCCAAGAACCGCAUGGUUCUUGGCUGAAAGAUGGCGUAAGCUAUCGCUUUUGGAUGGACCCGCGGCGUAUUAGCUAGUUGGUGAGGUAACGGCUCACCAAGGCAAUGAUACGUAGCCGAACUGAGAGGUUGAUCGGCCACAUUGGGACUGAGACACGGCCCAAACUCCUACGGGAGGCAGCAGUAGGGAAUCUUCCACAAUGGACGCAAGUCUGAUGGAGCAACGCCGCGUGAGUGAAGAAGGCUUUCGGGUCGUAAAACUCUGUUGUUGGAGAAGAAUGGUCGGCAGAGUAACUGUUGUCGGCGUGACGGUAUCCAACCAGAAAGCCACGGCUAACUACGUGCCAGCAGCCGCGGUAAUACGUAGGUGGCAAGCGUUAUCCGGAUUUAUUGGGCGUAAAGCGAGCGCAGGCGGUUUUUUAAGUCUGAUGUGAAAGCCCUCGGCUUAACCGAGGAAGUGCAUCGGAAACUGGGAAACUUGAGUGCAGAAGAGGACAGUGGAACUCCAUGUGUAGCGGUGAAAUGCGUAGAUAUAUGGAAGAACACCAGUGGCGAAGGCGGCUGUCUGGUCUGUAACUGACGCUGAGGCUCGAAAGCAUGGGUAGCGAACAGGAUUAGAUACCCUGGUAGUCCAUGCCGUAAACGAUGAAUGCUAGGUGUUGGAGGGUUUCCGCCCUUCAGUGCCGCAGCUAACGCAUUAAGCAUUCCGCCUGGGGAGUACGACCGCAAGGUUGAAACUCAAAGGAAUUGACGGGGGCCCGCACAAGCGGUGGAGCAUGUGGUUUAAUUCGAAGCAACGCGAAGAACCUUACCAGGUCUUGACAUCUUUUGAUCACCUGAGAGAUCAGGUUUCCCCUUCGGGGGCAAAAUGACAGGUGGUGCAUGGUUGUCGUCAGCUCGUGUCGUGAGAUGUUGGGUUAAGUCCCGCAACGAGCGCAACCCUUAUGACUAGUUGCCAGCAUUUAGUUGGGCACUCUAGUAAGACUGCCGGUGACAAACCGGAGGAAGGUGGGGAUGACGUCAAAUCAUCAUGCCCCUUAUGACCUGGGCUACACACGUGCUACAAUGGAUGGUACAACGAGUUGCGAGACCGCGAGGUCAAGCUAAUCUCUUAAAGCCAUUCUCAGUUCGGACUGUAGGCUGCAACUCGCCUACACGAAGUCGGAAUCGCUAGUAAUCGCGGAUCAGCACGCCGCGGUGAAUACGUUCCCGGGCCUUGUACACACCGCCCGUCACACCAUGAGAGUUUGUAACACCCGAAGCCGGUGGCGUAACCCUU